CACGUAGGAGGCGAGCGUUUGUCCGGAAUCAUUGGGCGUAAAGAGCGCGCAGGCGGCUUGGCAAGUCGGGUGUGAAAUCCCGGGGCUCAACCCCGUGACUGCAUUCGAUACUGUCAGGCUAGAGGUAGGUAGGGGGAGAUCGGAAUUCCUGGUGUAGCGGUGAAAUGCGCAGAUAUCAGGAGGAACACCGGUGGCGAAGGCGGAUCUCUGGGCCGUAACUGACGCUGAGGAGCGAAAGCGUGGGGAGCGAACAGG
rnacentral:rRNA from 1 species